rnacentral:rRNA from 1 species
AUUUUGCCCAAUGAGCGAAAGCUUGAGGCAGCAACUCCGCGUGAGGGAUGAAGGCUCUCGGGUCGUAAACCUCUUUUCUCAGGGAAGAUCCAAGACGGUACCUGAGUAAUAAGCCACGGCUAACUACGUGCCAGCAGCCGCGGUAAUACGUAGGUGGCAAGCGUUGUCCGGAUUUACUGGGCGUAAAGAGCGCGCAGGCGGCUGGUCAAGUCCGAUGUGAAAGCUCCCGGCUUAACUGGGAAACGGCAUCGGAAACUGAUCGGCUUGAAGGUGGGAGAGGGUAGUGGAAUUCCCGGUGUAGUGGUGAAAUGCGUAGAUAUCGGGAGGAACACCAGUGGCGAAGGCGACUACCUGGCCCACUCUUGACGCUGAGGCGCGAAAGCUAGGGGAGCGAACGGG